rnacentral:rRNA from 1 species
GGUUAAGUGAAUAAGGGCGCACGGUGGAUGCCUUGGCACUAGGAGCCGAUGAAGGACGGGACUAACACCGAUAUGCUUUGGGGAGCUGUAAGUAAGCUAUGAUCCAGAGAUUUCCGAAUGGGGGAACCCAAUAUCUUUUAUAGGAUAUUACUUUUCAGUGAAUACAUAGCUGAUUAGAGGUAGACGCAGAGAACUGAAACAUCUUAGUACCUGCAGGAAGAGAAAGAAAAUUCGAUUCCCUGAGUAGCGGCGAGCGAAACGGGAAGAGCCCAAACCAACAAGCUUGCUUGUUGGGGUUGUAGGACUCCAAUAUGGUAGUCUGUUAGUAUAGUUGAAGGAUUUGGAAAAUUCCGCUAAAGAGGGUGAAAGCCCCGUAGACGAAAUGCUGACAACACCUAGGAGGAUCCUGAGUACGGCGGAACACGAGAAAUUCCGUCGGAAUCCGCGGGGACCAUCCCGCAAGGCUAAAUACUCCCUAGUGACCGAUAGUGAACCAGUACCGUGAGGGAAAGGUGAAAAGCACCCCGGAAGGGGAGUGAAAUAGAUCCUGAAACCGUGUGCCUACAACAAGUCAAAGCUCGUUAAUGAGUGAUGGCGUGCCUUUUGUAGAAUGAACCGGCGAGUUACGAUUGCAUGCGAGGUUAAGUCGAAGAGACGGAGCCGCAGCGAAAGCGAGUCUGAAUAGGGCGAAUGAGUAUGUAGUCGUAGACCCGAAACCAUGUGAUCUACCCAUGUCCAGGUUGAAGGUGCGGUAAAACGCACUGGAGGACCGAACCCACGUACGUUGAAAAGUGCGGGGAUGAGGUGUGGGUAGCGGAGAAAUUCCAAACGAACUUGGAGAUAGCUGGUUCUCUCCGAAAUAGCUUUAGGGCUAGCCUCGGAAUUGAGAAUGAUGGAGGUAGAGCACUGUUUGGACUAGGGGCCCAUCUCGGGUUACCGAAUUCAGAUAAACUCCGAAUGCCAUUCAUUUAUAUCCGGGAGUCAGACUGCGAGUGAUAAGAUCCGUAGUCGAAAGGGAAACAGCCCAGACCACCAGCUAAGGUCCCAAAAUAUAUGUUAAGUGGAAAAGGAUGUGGGGUUGCACAGACAACUAGGAUGUUGGCUUAGAAGCAGCCACCAUUUAAAGAGUGCGUAAUAGCUCACUAGUCGAGUGACCCUGCGCCGAAAAUGUACCGGGGCUAAACAUAUUACCGAAGCUGUGGACUACACCAUUAGGUGUAGUGGUAGGAGAGCGUUCUAAGGGCGUUGAAGGUCGAUCGUGAGGACGGCUGGAGCGCUUAGAAGUGAGAAUGCCGGUAUGAGUAGCGAAAGACAGGUGAGAAUCCUGUCCACCGUAUGACUAAGGUUUCCUGGGGAAGGCUCGUCCGCCCAGGGUUAGUCGGGACCUAAGCCGAGGCCGAUAGGCGUAGGCGAUGGACAACAGGUUGAUAUUCCUGUACCAGUUGUUUUUGUUUGAGCAAUGGAGGGACGCAGUAGGCUAAGGAAUGCAUGCGAUUGGAAGUGCAUGUCCAAGCAAUGAGUCUUGAGUAGAGUUAAAUGCUUUACUCUUUAAGGACAAGUUGUGAUGGGGAGCGAAAUAAUAGUAGCGAAGUUCCUGAUGUCACACUGCCAAGAAAAGCUUCUAGUGAGAAAACAACUGCCCGUACCGUAAACCGACACAGGUAGUCGAGGAGAGUAUCCUAAGGUGAGCGAGCGAACUCUCGUUAAGGAACUCGGCAAAAUGACCCCGUAACUUCGGGAGAAGGGGUGCUGACUUCGGUCAGCCGCAGUGAAUAGGCCCAAGCGACUGUUUAUCAAAAACACAGGUCUCUGCAAAAUCGUAAGAUGAAGUAUAGGGGCUGACGCCUGCCCGGUGCUGGAAGGUUAAGAGGAUGGGUUAGCUUCGGCGAAGCUCAGAAUUGAAGCCCCAGUAAACGGCGGCCGUAACUAUAACGGUCCUAAGGUAGCGAAAUUCCUUGUCGGGUAAGUUCCGACCCGCACGAAAGGCGUAACGAUUUGG